UACGUAGGGUGCAAGCGUUGUCCGGAAUUAUUGGGCGUAAAGAGCUCGUAGGCGGUCUGUUGCGUCGGCUGUGAAAACCCGGGGCUCAACUCCGGGCCUGCAGCCGAUACGGGCAGACUAGAGUUCGGCAGGGGAGACUGGAAUUCCUGGUGUAGCGGUGAAAUGCGCAGAUAUCAGGAGGAACACCGGUGGCGAAGGCGGGUCUCUGGACAGUUCCUGACGCUGAGGCACGAAGGCCAGGGGAGCAAACGGG
rnacentral:rRNA from 1 species